rnacentral:rRNA from 1 species
CGCAUCUGUGCAUGCAGCAUAUCAAUAAGCGGAGGAAAAGAAACUAACAAGGAUUCCCCUAGUAACGGCGAGUGAAGCGGGAAGAGCUCAAAUUUGAAAUCUUAAAGGGUUUCCCUUUACGAAUUGUAGUUUAAAGAAGUGUUUUCUGUUGAGGUUUUGGUAAAAGUUCUUUGGAAUAGGACAUCAUAGAGGGUGAGAAUCCCGUAUUUGACCUUUACUUUCAACUUUGUGAUACACUUUCAAAGAGUCGGAUUGUUUGGGAAUGCAGUCCAAAAUGGGUGGUAAAUUUCAUCUAAAGCUAAAUAUUGGCGAGAGACCGAUAGCGAACAAGUACCGUGAGGGAAAGAUGAAAAGAACUUUGAAAAGAGAGUUAAACAGUACGUGAAAUUGUCAAAAGGGAAGCGUUUGACACCAGUGUUGUUUUUCUGAAAAUCAAUUAAAGAACUGUUUAUGCUAAGUUGUUUAGACUUUAUCAGCUAUCUGUUUAGUUUUGAGCUUUUCUUUAAUGCACUUUUCAGUUAACAAGUCAACAUCAAUUUCUUUUGCUGUAAAAAAGCUUGAGGAAGGUGGCUUGAGAUUCGUCUUAAGUGUUUAUAGCCUCUUGCCUAUGCAGUCGGAGAGAUCGAGGUCUGCAGCGUAGAUCCUUCGGGGCUAAAUGCAUUUGUGCUAAGUUAUAGCAUUUUAUAGACAACUUGUUGACUAUGAUUUGUCUUGUAGCUUACUCGCUUAUGUUAUUUUACCUACGCUUAGGAUGUUGACAGCAGUAUAGACUGU